GUGACCUCAAAUCAGGUAGGACUACCCGCUGAACUUAAGCAUAUCAAUAAGCGGAGGAAAAGAAACUAACAGGAUCCCCUAGUAACUGCGAGUGAAGCGGGAAAAGCUCAAAUUUAAA
rnacentral:rRNA from 1 species